UUGGUGCUUCCCAAAUUCAUAUGUUGAUAUUCCAGCCUCUAAGGUGAUGGUAUUGGGAGGUGAGGCUUUGAGAGAUAAUUAGGUCAUAAAGUUGGAGCCUUCAUAAAUG